UAAGGUUGUGGAGUGGAAAGUGAGAUCUGGGAAUCUCAUUUCAACUGUUCUUUAUGAACCACAGCUGCAACUGAAUUUGUUUUGGAAAGAGGUGGUGCAAGUGAAGGUCCACCCACUACAGUGAUGUUCUAGAGAUACAAGGGUGAGAUUCCUCACUCCUCAUUUAGAAGUUUACAGCACAGACUUCUGUCUCUGAGCUAAUAGUCUGGACUUCCUUUAUAGUCACUAGAGAGAAACAGACACUUCUAAAAGGCAAUUUAUCUGAUCCAUCUUAAAUGAGUUUGUGAGAAGAAAAUGCUUUAUGCUUUGGAAGUUCCUGUUUCUCUCAAGAAAUAAGAAAAGGCACGUGGACAAUGACAAAGAUGCUGCAAAUUAGGAAAAGCUCAAUUACACCGUUCCUGGAUGAGUUCUUGGUCUUGGAGUCCUUUUACAGCACUCCCUUGUAGUGUCUGCUUAGAAGACGAGUGAACUGAGAAUCCAAGAACUAUGUAUUGGUGCAGAGUCUGUUCCACUAGAUACACUCUGAAAAUGGCUACUGAACCGUGUCCUUCAGGCGCAGGCCUCGGUUUGUAACUUGAGAUCUAAGUCUUGGGAAAAAGUUUCUUCUUUGGAGACUCUGAUUUCAACUUUGAAGAAACAAUGGUGGUUGGAAGGCCACGUGGCAGAACCAGAGAAGAAUGAAAGCCCUGGAGAUAAAAGAAAACAAGAAAAGAAAAUCUGAGAUACACAACCAGACCGAGGUUGCAGGAAGCAGAAUAUACCAUGUGUGGAAGAUAUCAUGACAUGUAUCCAGUGGACAGAACUGUUCUAUCUGCAAGAAAACAAUACCAGUUCCCAUAGACAAGAUUGCCCAUUGCUCUAAGGAAACAGAGUAAGCACACGUGAAUUUUUCAGUGAUGCAGGAUUUUGCAACACACCCUGCAGCAACGCAUAGCUCCACAAACAUUUAAGAGAUUUUUCUUCAGCAUCCAUCAGCACUCAUUUGUGUGAACGUGCAAAAGAGAUUGAGUAGAUGGAAUAUUGGUUGGAAUAAGAAUGGAAAUCUUACGACAUACAGAACACAGAGAUCUUUUGGAAAGCGUACAUCAAAGGGUAAAUGGGCUGGUAAGAGGCUGGAUAUGCUGCUUCAAAUCAGCUGUUGGUCAUAAAAUCCAUCAGCAUUUGCACCUACCGAUACAGAAAGCUCUUUCUCUUACUAUUCCUUGCUCACAUAAAUACUAAUUUUUCUCUAGUGACCUAAUGAAGUCUUCCUAUACGUUCUGGCACAAGCCCUUUGUCACAACCCAAAAAAAUGUCACCUAAUCCACUUUACCCCAUUCAGGAUGAUGGUGAGGUCACCAGGCUGGCAAACACUAGCGCCCAGGUGGAAGCAGCGUGGCUGUGCCUGCACAUGCUGUACUUGAAGUACCAAAUGUUGCUGAGGGUAGGGAGGUGCCUUGGCAGAGUUCCCCAUCCUGUGGUGCUUCUCCAAAGCACAGCAUUGGCCCAAGCCGAUGUCCAAGCUCUCAAAGCUAGCUUAUGGAUCCCUUAAAAUCCCUCCAGACUCUGUACAAAUCCUCACAGAAACACACAUAUGUAAGGAAACUUCAGUGGCAGUGGGGAAAGAGGUGUUAGUGAGCCAAAUUUCCAAAGCAGCACUAAGAAGCCUCUUAAAUCCUCUCUAUUCCUCUAGGGUUCUAGCAUACAGUGCUUUCAAGCUAGCUGUGUGAAAUAAGUAGCAGUAAAAAUCCUUCGCUGCAUUUUAAUUUGUUGUUGUUAUUUUAGUGAGAUUGAGGUGGAUUGAGAGUUUUACAACUUGCUUUAGCCAGAAAAUGUUUCCUUACUUUUUUUUUAGUAGUAAAUAUUGCACUUAGAUGGUUUUGGAAUAAAAUACUGAAUUUAAGAAUUAAAAAAAGAUAUUUAGUUUUGUAAUUCAGUUCACUAUAAGUGCAUGUUUCUAUAGGACAGCAUUUGACUCACUAAAAAACAAGCAAUUCAAUUUUUCUGUUGCAAUGUCACGAAGUUUGGCGAAAAAAAUCUAGUAGUUUAGUCAUGUAUGUACCUUUCUGUCUUUGAAAGAAUUGGAGUUGAAUAAAAAUAGAUGCUAUUCAUACACUCAUUCAUGUAGUGAAUAUUUGCCUUCAUAAAAUCAUCACAGGACAGCUUAGCCACAUGAUUAUUCCUCAGAAUCUGUUCCUGCCGCCAUCCCUGAAAACGAAAUAUUGUUCUUAUAAAUGUUUAUGGAAACUUAAUUUAAUAAAAGUAAAAAUGCAGGUUCUUUUCUGCAGGCUAAUUUUAUUUGGAUUUUUGUCUGUCUUUAUUGCUGAGGAGUACUGUAAACAGUUUGAGUAAUCUCAAAGAAAUGAAUGUGCCUAUUCAAUAAUAAAAUUCUAACUAGUGUGAGUAACUGAGAGAAAAUCUGGAUCUUACAAAUUUGUGUUUUCACUGUACAUGUAUUUUGUGGCAUUGUGUUAUUCAUGGCUGGAAAUCUUUUCAACAUUUACAUUAGUGAUGUAAACCCACAAAUUUCAAAUUCUUUGAAGUUAGUG